AGUGAACGCUGGCGGUAGGCCUAACACAUGCAAGUCGAACGGCAGCACAGUAAGAGCUUGCUCUUACGGGUGGCGAGUGGCGGACGGGUGAGGAAUACAUCGGAAUCUACUUUUUCGUGGGGGAUAACGUAGGGAAACUUACGCUAAUACCGCAUACGACCUACGGGUGAAAGCAGGGGAUCUUCGGACCUUGCGCGAUUGAAUGAGCCGAUGUCGGAUUAGCUAGUUGGCGGGGUAAAGGCCCACCAAGGCGACGAUCCGUAGCUGGUCUGAGAGGAUGAUCAGCCACACUGGAACUGAGACACGGUCCAGACUCCUACGGGAGGCAGCAGUGGGGAAUAUUGGACAAUGGGCGCAAGCCUGAUCCAACCAUACCGCGUGGGUGAAGAAGGCCUUCGGGUUGUAAGGCCCUUUUGUUGGGAAAGAAAAGCAGCAGGUUAAUACCCCGCUGUUCUGACGGUACCCAAAGAAUAAGCACCGGCUAACUUCGUG
rnacentral:rRNA from 1 species